rnacentral:rRNA from 1 species
UAAGGAAUAUUGGUCAAUGGACGCAAGUCUGAACCAGCCAUGCCGCGUGGAGGAUGAAGGUCCUCUGGAUUGUAAACUUCUUUUAUCUGGGACGAAACACUCCUAUUCUUAGGGGCCUGACGGUACCAGAUGAAUAAGCACCGGCUAACUCCGUGCCAGCAGCCGCGGUAAUACGGAGGGUGCAAGCGUUAUCCGGAUUCACUGGGUUUAAAGGGUGCGUAGGUGGGUAUGUAAGUCAGUGGUGAAAUCCCCGAGCUUAACUUGGGAACUGCCGUUGAUACUAUAUAUCUUGAAUGCCGUAGAGGUAAGCGGAAUAUGUCAUGUAGCGGUGAAAUGCUUAGAGAUGACAUAGAACACCAAUUGCGAAGGCAGCUUACUAUGCGGUGAUUGACACUGAUGCACGAAAGCGUGGGUAGCAAACA